UCGUCCCACAUUCGUGGAAAGUCGCUUGUGGGUGAAGCAUUGUUAUUGCUUGGCCCAAAUGCACGGAGCACAUUAAUCAGCGAAGGAAUCUCAUUCUGGCGGCAACAAAUUAGUUAAAAGCGAACUGCAAAUGUCAAAGCGAGACAGCUGACUUGCCUAAUUAGGAGCCAAGUGAAAUAAAAAUAUUACACAUACGCCAUGU
ensembl:ncRNA lncRNA:CR43412 long non-coding RNA:CR43412